CAACUACCCAACAGACCGUGAUAACCUCGGGAAACUGAGGCUAAUAACGGAUAGCGCUCCCGAGCUUGAAUGCUGGGAGCGCCAAAGCUCCGGCGCUGUUGGAUGUGGCUGCGGCCGAUUAGGUAGACGGUGGGGUAACGGCCCACCGUGCCGAUAAUCGGUACGGGUUGUGAGAGCAAGAACCCGGAGACGGACUCUGAGACAAGAGUCCGGGCCCUACGGGGCGCAGCAGGCGCGAAACCUUUACACUGUACGCAAGUACGAUAGGGGGACACCGAGUGCGAGGGCACAGAGCCCUCGCUUUUGUACACCUUAAGGUGGUGCACGAAUAAGGGCUGGGCAAGACCGGUGCCAGCCGCCGCGGUAACACCGGCAGCCCAAGUGAUGGCCGCUAUUAUUGGGCCUAAAGCGUCCGUAGCUGGCCGUUCAGGUCCGUCGGGAAAUCCACUGGCUUAACCAGUGGGCGUCCGGCGGAAACCGUUCGGCUUGGAACAGGGAGACCAGAGGGGUACGUCCGGGGUAGGAGUGAAAUCCCGUAAUCCUGGACGGACCAUCGGUGGCGAAAGCGCCUCUGGAGAACUGAUUCGACAGUGAGGGACGAAAGCUGGGGUCUCGAACCGGAUUAGAUACCCGGGUAGUCCCAGCCGUAAACGAUGCUCGCUAGGUGUGUCGCAGGCUACGAGCCUGCGAUGUGC
rnacentral:rRNA from 1 species